rnacentral:misc_RNA from 1 species
AUUUAUUUAUUUAUUUAUUUUUGCGGUCAAGGAAGGAGAGGAAGAGGGCAAAAGGACGAUGAGCUUUUUUGAGUGGACGAAAAAAGACUGUACUUCUCAAGAAAUUACAACAAUUUCAUUCCCUUGACUAGGGGUCCAGAGGCAUUAUGAGCGAGGGUGUUUUGGUCAUUUGGUAAACCCAGUUCUGGUAAUCGGAGAUGUCAUUUCCCUCGUGUUUCGGGUGGACUAAAGAAGACAAGAACAUGGAAACAGAUCAUGGGCGAGGAAGAGAGAGAG